rfam:Lactobacillus sp. ASF360 genomic scaffold acMPL-supercont1.5, whole genome shotgun sequence.
UAUCGGUUCAAGUCCUGAGAGGAUUCGUCGGAUGUACGAAGAUGCCUUGUAACCGAAUAGCAAGUGUCUAUAUAGGGGGACUAUUAUG